UCAUGCUUGAAGAAAUCGUUCUCGAUGAGCUCAUAGUCAAGGGAUUCGAUGGGGGAGACAUUGGAGCCGACGAGGGCGACCUGGGAGGUAGCGUUGGAGGCGCAGCGGCGGAGGUUGAUGCGGUGAUCUCCGUUGAGGAGGGGCUCCUCGGCGCCGCGGGUUGGGGGCUCGGAGUCGGAGUCGGAGCCGGAGGGGAUGGCUCCGGCCAUGGGAGAUGCGGCGCCGACGAGUCGCCGGCGGGAUUGCGAGCGGAUCUUUGAGGUGACGGUCACGGGAUGGAGGUGAGAAAGAGGGA
rnacentral:misc_RNA from 1 species